rnacentral:rRNA from 1 species
AGCGAACGCUGGCGGCAGGCCUAACACAUGCAAGUCGAACGGCCCUUUCGGGGUUAGUGGCGGACGGGUGAGUAACCCGUGGGAACGUGCCUUUAGGUUCGGAAUAGCUCCUGGAAACGGGUGGUAAUGCCGAAUGUGCCCUUCGGGGGAAAGAUUUAUCGCCUUUAGAGCGGCCCGCGUCUGAUUAGCUAGUUGGUUGAGGUAACGGCUCACCAAGGCGACGAUCAGUAGCUGGUCUGAGAGGAUGGCCAGCCACAUUGGGACUGAGACACGGCCCAAACUCCUACGGGAUGCAGCAGUGGGGAAUCUUGCGCAAUGGGCGAAAGCCUGACGCAGCCAUGCCGCGUGAAUGAUGAAGGUCGUAGGAUUGUAAAAUUCUUUCACCGGGGACGAUAAUGACGGUACCCGGAGAAGAAGCCCCGGCUAACUUCGUG